UAUAAUGUAUACACUUGUCACUGAUUGUACUAUUGUGCAAUAUGCUAGUAUUAUUGGUAGUCUUAUAAAUGCUACUUAUUGUACCAGAUCCAAUAUUGCAUAUGCCGUAGGAGUUCUAGCAAGAUUUACUAGCAAACCUAAUUUUGAGAACUGCACACGGGUCCGUUUGUUACCAUUGUUUAAACAAUAGUUUUCAAUGUUUAAACAACACUAGUCAUUAACCAGUGCGAUGCACUGGAAAAUUACCGAAAAUGAAAUAUAAUGAAUGCAAUGCAAUUAUGCAAAAUACCAUUUAAAUUAAAUGACAAAUAUUAGUUAAUGUUGUUAUCGUUAGCUGUUUGUGUUAUGUUUAGAGUUUCAUAUCUAAGUUACUACAAUAUUACUUGUAGCAACUGAAACUCACAAUAUCUAUAUAUAUAUAAUAGCAGAAGCUGAGAGAAAGUUGAUUCGAGGUGGUGACAAAUAGGAUAAAUUCAGACACGUAUAACUUAAAAAAGCGAUAUAUUAUAUUGUUUGGUAACGUUCCAACACCGUUUAAAAGCAAUAAAUGAUAAUGUUUCACCAUGUUAAAACACUGUUUGGAGUCCUCUGGGUAUAAAAUGGAAACUAACCGCUAAAAAAAAAGAAAGAAAGAAAAGAAAAGAAAGAUUGCUACACGGAGAAAGGGGAGAGAGAGAUCGAAAGAAAAGAGAGAUAGAAAUAGAGAGACAGAGAUAGAGAGAAGGGUGCCACCCAGAUCUUCUGCCAUCACCAUUGGUAUUUUGGGUCAGAUUUGGUUUUGAUUAAGGGAUACGAAGAUAGAGGAACCAAGCAGAGUUCGUAGGCGCCAAGAGAGAGAAGAAAUAUUUAAGGCCGACCAUUGUCCGUUCCCUCGCCAGACUUGGGGCACCGGAAUCGCAAGCAAGAAAAAACUAUGGACCAUCAACAAUGUUAGGCCAUAUAUCUGCCACCUAGAUCGUCGGAAUCAGAACCGCUAAACCCAACCAAAAGCCCAAUCAAUACACUGUUUUAAAUCCCGAUCAUGACACCCGUACAAGUGAACCAAAAAAAAAAAAAAAAAAACCCAAUAAAAGGGUUUAGGGAGAGAGAGAUAUGUAAUGUUGAAUUAUUAAACAGAGAGACAGGGAGAAAGAGAACGACAAAGAGAUUCGGUCAGGCAUAGAGAGUGGAAAGAGAAAAUCUAAGAAGACAGUCAGCCUCUGCCACCAUCAGAUCCCGUAUCCUCCACCGAUCCAAAAUUAGAUCGUACCAUUCAUCCUUCCUGGCUAUGCUCAAGUUCAUUUGGAAGGAGAGUUGCUGGGAAACAGGGAUAACAGCAGCAUUGACACGAAGGAAUUCUUUUUUCUAUUUUUGGUAAAUAUUGGUCUUAGUUGAAGCUUCAAAGUCUGAGAAAGGCAGUUGGAUUGGUGUAUUAUUUCAAUGUAGGAAUCAAAGAGAUUGCAAUAUUUUCAGGGGCUGUUAGAGUUGGAAAGUGCAGAGGAAGACUACUGCUAUGUUGUGAUCUUUGAGGGUUCUCUCUAUUAGGCUUUCAAACAUGAAAAUGAAUGGUAUUAUAGUUAUGACAACUAGAAAAGUUAAGUAUUCAAUCUGACUCAGGAGCAUACUAGAGUGAGAUGACAAGACAAAAGGGUGCUGAACAACCUUGAGAAAACAUAUCAAUAAGAGUGGUGGAUUGGGUUCCGAUAACUUUCUUUUUGGGGACUUGAAUUUGAAGCAAAGAAAUAGAAAGAAAAUGUGUAAUGCAACUGUUAAAGAGAAAAGGUUAAAUAUGGAUGAUAGAAAAGGUUUAAGCAAAUGUGAAGAUGAGAGACAUACUUAGGUUUAUGGUGGCUGAUUGUUUCAACAAUUACAUGUUGGUGCACACGUGUAUUAAAGACAAUUGACUUAUGUGGGUGAGGUGUAACCAAUGUAUGUUACAAAGGCGAUUGCAGUUUCGAAAUUGAAGAGAGAAACAAAUUAGAGAAAAAGAUGUAAUUCUGGAUCCAAGUCUAUCCAAGUUGCGUGGGCAAAUAUAUCUGAUGUAUAGAUAUAGUUGCAUUCCUAGCUUAUUGUAGAGAAGAUUGAUACAAUUUAUAUUUACUAUGAUUGAUUGCACCAGUUUCAUUUAAUAUCUAUUGAUUGUAAUUAUUAGGAAACAUUGUCCAAGGCAUUAUGUGUAAUUAUUCUCAACUGAAAAUCCCUACCAAAAAAGCAUGUAGUAGUAUUGCUAUUUAUUCAGUCAGUACUCAAUCAUGUUAUGAUUUCAGAAUCAUAAUUGGAUUGGUCCAAGAAAGAAUCAUCAUUCAAUUGUGUUUU